rnacentral:rRNA from 1 species
CCCGCGCCGUAUUAGCUAGUUGGUGGGGUAACGGCCUACCAAGGCGACGAUACGUAGCCGACCUGAGAGGGUGAUCGGCCACACUGGAACUGAGACACGGUCCAGACUCCUACGGGAGGCAGCAGUAGGGAAUCUUCCGCAAUGGGCGAAAGCCUGACGGAGCAACGCCGCGUGAGUGAUGAAGGUCUUCGGAUCGUAAAGCUCUGUUGUUAGGGAAGAACAAAUGUGUAAGUAACUGUGCACAUCUUGACGGUACCUAACCAGAAAGCCACGGCUAACUACGUGCCAGCAGCCGCGGUAAUACGUAGGUGGCAAGCGUUAUCCGGAAUUAUUGGGCGUAAAGCGCGCGUAGGCGGUUUUUUAAGUCUGAUGUGAAAGCCCACGGCUCAACCGUGGAGGGUCAUUGGAAACUGGAAAACUUGAGUGCAGAAGAGGAAAGUGGAAUUCCAUGUGUAGCGGUGAAAUGCGCAGAGAUAUGGAGGAACACCAGUGGCGAAGGCGGCUUUCUGGUCUGCAACUGACGCUGAUGUGCGAAAGCGUGGGGAUCAAACAGGAUUAGAUACCCUGGUAGUCCACGCCGUAAACGAUGAGUGCUAAGUGUUAGGGGGUUUCCGCCCCUUAGUGCUGCAGCUAACGCAUUAAGCACUCCGCCUGGGGAGUACGGUCGCAAGACUGAAACUCAAAGGAAUUGACGGGGACCCGCAC